UACGGAGGAUCCAAGCGUUAUCCGGAUUCAUUGGGUUUAAAGGGUGCGUAGGCGGACUGAUAAGUCAGCGGUGAAAUCCCACGGCUCAACUGUGGAACUGCCGUUGAUACUGAUAGUCUUGAAUGCAGAUGAUGUGGGCGGAAUAUGACAUGUAGUGGUGAAAUACUUAGAUAUGUCAUAGAACACCGAUUGCGAAGGCAGCUCACAAAGCUGUGAUUGACGCUGAUGCACGAAAGCGUGGGGAUCAAACAGG
rnacentral:rRNA from 1 species